rnacentral:lncRNA from 1 species
AUCACUAAGAGGAUGUGCAUUUCACCUUCUCCUCCUGUGUCUUGCUAGAAUGUGGAUAUGAUGGCUGAUGUGUAAGCAGCAAUUUUAAGGAUAAAAAGCUAGAGGAAUUAGAAGCAUGAGAAGGAUUUCACCUGCUGUUGCUGGCUUGAAGAUGGAGAAGACCACAGGAUAAGAGAUGUCAGUGGCCUCUAGAAGCUAACAGUGUCCCCUAACUCGCAGCCAGCAAGAAGUUAGCAACCUUAAUCCUACAACAAUGAGGAACCUAAUCCUUAAUGGAAACUAAUUAUUCUCCAGAGUCUUCAGUGUUCCCAGGAAACAUAACAUUCCAGAAGGCACAUCUGCCGUUACUAUAACAACAGAAAGGCAGCGUCUACGGAGAAUUAUCUGCACUAGAGGGCAGACUGCAAACCAGCAGGAUUCCUGGGUUCCUCUUCCAGGAGGCAAGGGUAAAUUUUGGUGAAAAGAAGCAAAGCCUGAACAGGGUUUUGGUGUAUGGAUGGGGCAUAGAGUGCUCAGAAUUUGAGGAAGGUGAAGGGCAGCCCAAGGUUUAUAAACUGUUUCUAGACCAAAGGUGCAAAACUGCUGUCAAGGAAAUCAGCUAGCAAGGAUUUAGGAAAACAUCUUAUUGUUGGGGUACAGGCACAGAGUUAAGAACUGGUUGGGGUAAUACUAGACAGAUGAAAGAAUCACUUUCCAGCUGUUUGACCCAAAGACAAAUCACAUCGCCUCCCAAGGGAGGUGAAGUCACUUACCCAGAGGAACAACAUCCACUACGAUCGCCCUAAGAGAUACUGAGAAUAGUCUUGAGCAUGGCUAUCAAGGCAAGUCCUGAGAUGCUUGCUAAAGAGUUGAACAUAGACAUGAAUCUCAGUCAGUCUGUCUGAGACUUUGCCUCUUUCCUUGCCUUGGCUUUUACUUUACUAGCUUCUUCUCAGGUUCUGGAUCUCUUUAGGCUUCUUUUCCAACCUCGCUACUAGACUGAUCUAUAUUUGGGAGUCCACCUCAGCCUGUCUGCCAUUCCAAAAAAAAAAAAAAAAACCCUAUUCAUGUCACUAAUCCCACUCUGCAUUCCUAGUCUCUCAGUUUCAAUUUCUCCUUACCUAACCUCUGGCUUUGCUUCAACAUAGAGUUUUCAGACCAUCCUGGAUUAAACUUUGCCCCUUUUAUGGUCAAAAUGGCUUAAUUAGCCAAUUAAGUUACCAUUCAGAGGAAGAGAUUAAUACUAGCAUAAAAUAAAUAAGCAGACAUAAAUUAAUUUCUAUAAAUGGUUUGAAGGAAAUAAACUAAAGUGUAGGAAAAACAGAGUGAGCCUUCCUUUUGUAGGUGGUCAAGAAAGACAUCUCUAAGGGAGGUGAUAUUUAAGUUGAGACCCAAGAAGAGAAGGAGUAGUUGGCUGUAUGAAUAGCAUGUGCAAAGCCCUGCAGCAUGAAAGAGGUUGUGGUUGUAGAACAAAAAGACUGCUGGGAUGAGGCAUCUCAGUAGCAAGCCGAGGAUAAGAGGGUCUUGAGAUGAGAGUGGGUACAGACCAGAUCAUGGAGACAUUUACAAGUCACGGUUAAACAGUUUGGAUUUCAUUCCAAGUUUCUUAAAUGGCAUAUUGUCACAAGACCAAAAGAGACCUUUGGGACUCAUUCCAUCUGUCAGGUAGGAGGUAAUUCUUUUUCUUUUUAUCCAUGCACCAACUUCUGUAAGUAAACUUGACUAAUGUUUGUUUAUAAUCAGUGAGUAAGCUGCUACUUUAAUACCGCUACCCUGGAAGAGGCCCUUCAAGGCAUGUUAAAUUAACUGAUGUGAAUAAAAACAAUGAAUAAAAAUACCUCUCUCCUUUAAUGAGAACAGCGACUUCUGUUUCCCUGAGCUUUUUCAGUCCCAUAAGACCUUUUAAAACAGAGUGAGCAUGUUCAGGUUCAAAUGCUAAAAACAUAAUCUUGUCUCUCUCUUGUUGGAUUAUGUUUCGAGAAGCCAUUUUAGAUCAAUCUUUUUGAGCACACAAGCUUCAGAAGCUGUGACUAAAACAUACCCAGCACUGCUGCUAGGUUGGUCAUUUUUCCCUAAGGCUGUUCUCACACAGAACCAAAGGGAUGUGCCCCUUCAUCUGAUACAUGGACCCUCCAGCUCAGGGACUGAUGAAAAAGAAGCCCCAAAGUUUGUGUUCUAUAAGGGCCUGCUUAUCCACUCAAAUCUCGUGUAAAAGGUUGGGUAAGAGUCUAUGUGCUUCUCUAAUUUGCCAUUCCUACGGGAGUUACAAAAAGUUUACAGAGGCACUUUUGGGAUCUAUUCAUAUGUUCUGCAUAUACUAUCUCGUAGGGAUUAGAUUCCAUGUUUAUCACACACUCUACAAAGAGACAAUGUUGUGUAAUGAAAAUUAGAUUUUAUUCCAAUUGUGUAAUUCAUUUGUUUUAUGGCCAAGUAAAAGUUAUUUUCUUUCCAAGCAUUUUUGUUUGUUUGUUUGUUUGUUUGUUUGUUUGCAAGAUGACCUCUAGGGCUCCUUCCAGUUCUAUGACUUUGUGAAUCUCUAUCAACAUGGACUCAAGAACAAUGCUGGUAUUAGCUAUGGUAAGCUAAACUGCUGUUACAAGUAGACUUCAAAGUGCAAAGGCCCAAACAAAAUAGAAAUCUUUUUUUUUCACCCAAUGGCUCAGGACAGGUGUUCUAGAUCAGCUGACAGCUCUGCUCCACAAUUCAAUUCAGAGAACUGGUCUAAAGAUACUUGGCCUUCAAAGUCACUCUAAUAAUAGCCCUUCCAGUCAGUCCAUCAGAAAGAAGACAAGCUGAAGUCCUGGGUAAGAGAUAUCUCACAAGGUAAAUGAAAUUAAAUUAUUCCUCUGGCAAGAGCCUAAACACAAGGUCACAUCUAGCUGCAAGAGAGGCCACAAAAUAUAGUCCCAGUCUGGAUCCAGACAGAACUCCAUUACUAGGGAAGAAGAUGAGAGAGAAUUGGGGUGGACAUAGAGCAGCCUCUGCUACGUGCCUAAUUCCUAUAUUAGGUUUCAGACUAUUAAACUUUUCAAUUACUGAAUUAUCAUCACAGUUCUAAGAGACAAUUACUACAAUGUUCAUUCUACAGAUGUGAAAACUAUGUCCCAAAGAGCUGAAGUAAAACACAUGAAGUCUCACAGUUAAAAGCUGAGCUAAGCUUCAAUUUCAGGUCUGCUGGUCAGUGCUUUCUCUACCAUAAGUACUAAAUUGAAAUAUUUGCAUAGCAAAUAAUCAUUAGCAUAAAUCUGCAUGAAUAAAAAGAACAACAAGGCAUUAUUGUGAAAGGUAAGAGGAACAGCUAAAGCAUGCAGCAGAUCUAGGACUGACUCCAAGUGUUAAGAGGUCUCCAAACUGAAAGAUGG